rnacentral:rRNA from 1 species
ACGGGUGAGUAACGCGUAUGACCAACCUAACCGUACUCGAAGAGGGGAAUAACCCGGCGAAAGUCGGACUAAUACCGCAUAAACAGGGGCACCGCAUGGUGAUAUUUGUUAAAGAGAUUCGCUGAUAGAUGGGCAUGCGUUCCAUUAGGUAGUUGGUGAGGUAACGGCUCACCAAGCCGACGAUGGAUAGGGGAACUGAGAGGUUGGUCCCCCACACUGGUACUGAGACACGGACCAGACUCCUACGGGAGGCAGCAGUGAGGAAUAUUGGUCAAUGGGCGGGAGCCUGAACCAGCCAAGUCGCGUGAAGGAAGAAGGAUCUAUGGUUCGUAAACUUCUUUUGCAGGGGAAUAAAGUGCAGGACGUGUCCUGUUUUGUAUGUACCCUGAGAAUAAGGAUCGGCUAACUCCGUGCCAGCCGCCGC